rnacentral:rRNA from 1 species
AACGAACGCUGGCGGCAGGCCUAAAACAUGCAAGUCGAGCGGGCAUAGCAAUAUGUCAGCGGCGGACGGGUGAAUAACACGUGGGAACAUGCCCUUUGGUACGGAACAACUCAGGGAAACUUGAGCUAAUACCGUAUGUGCCGGUAACGGGAAAGAUUUAUCGCCAAAGGAUUGGCCCGCGUCCGAUUAGCUAGUUGGUGAGGUAACGGCUCACCAAGGCGACGAUCGGUAGCUGGUUUGAGAGAACGAUCAGCCACACUGGGACUGAGACACGGCCCAGACUCCUACGGGAGGCAGCAGUUGGGAAUCUUGGACAAGUGGGGGAAACCCUGAUCCAGCCAUGCCGCAUGAGCGAUGAAGGCC